UACGUAGGGUGCAGGCGUUAAUCGGAAUUACUGGGCGUAAAGCGUGCGCAGGCGGCUUCCUAAGUCAGAUGUGAAAUCCCCGGGCUCAACCUGGGAACUGCGUUUGAAACUGGGAGGCUAGAGUGCGGCAGAGGGGGGUGGAAUUCCACGUGUAGCAGUGAAAUGCGUAGAUAUGUGGAGGAACACCGAUGGCGAAGGCAGCCCCCUGGGCCAGCACUGACGCUCAUGCACGAAAGCGUGGGGAGCAAACAGGAUUAGAUACCCUGGUAGUCCACGCCCUAAACGAUGUCGACUAGUUGUUGGGGGAGUCUGUCCCUCAGUAACGUAGCUAACGCGUGAAGUCGACCGCCUGGGGAGUACGGUCGCAAGAUUAAA
rnacentral:rRNA from 1 species